GGCCCCAUAGCUCAGUUGGUUAGUGGGUCGUGCUAAUAACUUGGCCGUCGUCAGUUCGGUGCUGGCUGGGGCCA